rnacentral:rRNA from 1 species
CGGGUUAAAACCUCCCAACCCCUGUGAACAUACCUAAUGCGUUGCCUCCGGAGGAACCCACUGCCCCUUAACCCGGGCCGCCCCCCCCAGAACCCCCCCUCUCUCUUUUUCUAUUUUGUUUCUUCUGAAUAACACAAGCAAAUAAAUUAAUUCUUCAACCGAUCUAUUGCUUGUGUCUGGCAUGAAUAAAGAACCCAACUGAAAGCAAUAAUGAGAGUUACUUAAUUAAUUGAAUCAACCAAUCAUUCUUUGCACAUUGCUUCCGCCCGCAUUUAUUCGGGCGGGCCUGUUCGAUCGACCGUUCUUCCCUCCCUCAGGCCCCCGGGCCGGGGGUUGGGUUAAUUCGCGUUCCUCAAAUUGAUUGGCGGUCACGUCUAGCUUCCAUAGCGUAGUAGUAAAACCCUCGUUACUGGUAAUCGUCGCGGCCACCCCGUUAAACCCCAACUUCUGAAUGUUGACCUCGGAUCAGGUAGGAAUACCCGCUGAACUUAAGCAUAUCAAUAAGCGGAGGAAAAACCUCGGAAGAAAAAAAAUUAAUUC